rnacentral:rRNA from 1 species
AGAAGCAUUGUUAAGGAACUCGGCAAAAUGACCCCGUAACUUCGGGAGAAGGGGUGCCCUGUGAAAGCAGGGCCGCAGAGAAUAGGCUCAAGCAACUGUUUAGCAAAAACACAGGUCUAUGCGAAACCGAAAGGUGAGGUAUAUGGGCUGACGCCUGCCCGGUGCUGGAAGGUUAAGAGGAGAUGUUAGAGCAAUCGAAGCAUUGAAUUUAAGCCCCAGUAAACGGCGGCCGUAACUAUAACGGUCCUAAGGUAGCGAAAUUCCUUGUCGGGUAAGUUCCGACCCGCACGAAAGGCGUAAUGAUUUGAGCACUGUCUCGACAAUGCAUCCGGUGAAAUUGAAGUACCAGUGAAGAUGCUGGUUACCUGCGCCAGGACGGAAAGACCCCAUGGAGCUUUACUCUAGCUUGAUACUGGGAUUCGGUAUUGCAUGUACAGGAUAGGUGGGAGACGAAGAGGUGAUGACGCCAGUUGUCACGGAGUCGAUGUUGGGAUACCACCCCUGCAGUACUGGGUUUCUAACCUGCGGCCGUGACCCGGCCGGGGGACAAUGUCUGGUGGGGAGUUUGACUGGGGCGGUCGCCUCCGAAAGGGUAUCGGAGGCGCUCAAAGGUUCCCUCAGAAUGGUUGGAAACCAUUCGAAGAGUGCAAAGGCAGAAGGGAGCUUGACUGCGACACCGACGGGUGGAGCAGGUACGAAAGUAGGACUUAGUGAUCCGGUGGUAUAAAGUGGGAUUGCCAUCGCUCAACGGAUAAAAGCUACCCUGGGGAUAACAGGCUUAUCACUCCCAAGAGUUCACAUCGACGGAGUGGUUUGGCACCUCGAUGUCGGCUCAUCGCAUCCUGGGGCUGUAGUAGGUCCCAAGGGUUGGGCUGUUCGCCCAUUAAAGCGGUACGCGAGCUGGGUUCAGAACGUCGUGAGACAGUUCGGUCCCUAUCCGGCGUGGGCGUAGGAUAUUUGAGAGGAGCUGUCCUUAGUACGAGAGGACCGGGAUGGACGGACCACUGGUGUAUCUGUUGUCGACCAACGGCAUGGCAGAGUAGCCAAGUCUGGAAGGGAUAAACGCUGAAGGCAUCUAAGCGUGAAGCCCCCCUCAAGAUGAGAUAUCCC